UUCCAGCACAACUUUCUGUUGUCCCAAGGAGAGCAAGGGUUGUUUAAGACGUAAUGUGAUGUGCUAGCUGAACAGCACAGUCAAUAUCAACAAGUUGCAGUCACCUGAGCAUAGAGUCUGAAAGCCCACUAUCACACCACGUAAGGUGUUCCUGAGGAACAGAGGAAGAUCAGAGUGAUCUUUGAAAGGAUUUAGGUCUUCACCAGCACUGCUACAUUUCAGGAGGAAUUCCUCCCCUGCUCAAAACUGCUCUGUAUACAACUCAGAUACUCAAGAUAUGCACUGAGGAAAGGUACAUUUUACAGAGAUUCACGGGAGAAAAAACAAAAAACCCAAGCUUCACACUAGAUCAAUGAAACAUGUCUUAAAACAACUGGAUCCCAGUUCUCCAGCUGAAUAUCACCAUGGUACCUGGCUGGUCAUCAAAUACACAAAUUGCAGAAUGCAUAAUUUUUGUCCCUGUUCCUGCCCAGUGGAAAUUAGGAGAUUUCCCUAUUUUCAGACCACAUUUAGUUUGUGGGGUGUGAAUGAUGCUGGAGAGUUCAUCUGUAAGAGAGUGGCUGCUGUCUGGAAGCAGGAGAGCCCAGCUGCCAUGGAAACCAAGCCUUCCAAUGCCCUGAACUUGCAGCACCAGCCUUGGGAGAGGAUUCCAGUGGUGAAGCUCAAAGAAGGGGAUGUUGGAGGAGGUGUAAAGGUGGAGGAGUGGGAAGGUGUAAGGUUGACUGUGGCAUGAACAGGUCUAGGCUGUUCUGCCAAGGCACUGGACAAGGACCUUAAUCUGACAUACUGGAAACUUUAAAGAUCAGGUUUUUUCCUACAGAGAAAGUGCUGAGGUUAAGGGCUGCAAAUUGCAAGUUACAAGUUGAACACCAGAAGAAUCUUGGAAGGACAAAAGUUGUGGAAGGUGGAUUGAGAGAAAAAUACCAUUCACCUUUUGGGAACAACAGGUUUUUGUUUCUGCCCUCUUUACACUCUUUGAUAUCACAGACUGAAGGAGAAUAUACUCCAGAAGCUAUGAAACUGUCUUCCCGUUUGCACAUUUCCUGGGAAAGGGGCCUUAAAUCUGGCAAAGUGAAAUAUGUCACAACCUCCCAGUUAAAAAUCUCACUUUCUGUAUUACUAACCUGUCAUUAAUCCUGCAAGACGGAUGUUAACAAGACCUCACUGUUAAAUACAGCAUACUACAUAUGUUGGACAUCUGAUGUUCCUUCUCCUAACAGUAAUAUGGAAAACUUUCUUGGACUCCCCUCUCAAGAUCUGUGUCAGUGAAAACAGAUGGAAACGGAACUGUAAGUAGGACCAAUGACCCUGGUGUGAAGAUGAUGAGAAAACUUCACUUAGGAGGUGACUACAUCUACAGCUAUGCUAAAAAAGAUGGAACUGUACUUCCUUGAGACAAAGCUGAAAUAGGGUUUUCUGUGAAGAACUGAGCAGGUUAGACAACUGCAAUUCCAGAUAAAACACCAGCAGUUAAAGUUGUGUAAGUAAAAGUUGGGGAAAGAUCAUGCCUCCUGCACGCCACAGAAUAUACUCUGGCAUGGGCAAGUAGUAACAGGUAUCAAGCCAUGGUGCUAAUCCUUUUUCAUCAGGAUAAUGUCAUGUCCUGGUGCAUACAAGUUUCUAAAUGAUGACAUUGUGGUGACCUUUAGGAAGCCCUCUAAAAUCAUUAGGCCUAAUUCUUCUUGUGAUUAUAUUACUUGAACUUCAGAGCUACUGCACAGACUUUCAGGCAGUUGGUUUGGAUUUACAUCUCUCGAGCUGGCCUAUUAUUUCCUGUAUUGUUUCCAGUUGCAUGAAAUCAUCUGUGCACGUCCUCCAGGGCUGCUGGAACCCUCUGUCCUCCCCAGCACCACACAUGAUGCAAUGAGCCUCUGACGGAGGAGGAAAGCCGAGAAGUCCAUGUAGGGAAGCAGAUAAUUUCCUUUAGA